rnacentral:rRNA from 1 species
GAAUAUUGGACAAUGGGGGAAACCCUGCUCCAGCCAUGCCGCGUGUGUGAAGAAGGUCUUCGUAUUGUAGAGCACUUUAAGUUGGGAGGAAGGUCGUCAAGGUAAUACCGUGAUGCUUUGACGUUACAAACAGAAGAAGCACCGCCUAACUCUGUGCCAGCAGCCGCGGUAAUACACAGGGGGCAAGCGUGAAUCGUAAUUACUGCGCGUAAAGCGCGCGUAGGUGGUUCAGUAAGAUGGGUGUGAAAUCCCCGGGCUCAACCUGGGAACUGCUUUCAUAACUGCUGAGCUAGAGUACGGUAGAGGGUAGUGGAAUUUCCUGUGUAGAGGGGAAAUGCGUAGAUAUAGGAAGGAAAACCAGUGGCGAAGGUGACUACCUGGACUGAUACUGACACUGAGGUGCGAAAGCGUGGGGAGCAAACAG